rnacentral:rRNA from 1 species
AACGAACGUUGGCGGCGUGGAUGAGGCAUGCAAGUCGAGCGAGAAAGCGCCUUCGGGCGUGAGUACAGCGGCGGACGGGUGAGUAACACGUAAUCAAGCUGCCCUCGAGACCGGGAUAAC